rnacentral:tRNA from 1 species
GUUUCUGUAGUGUAGUGGUUAUCACGUUCGCUACACGCGAAAGGUCCCCGGUUCGAAACCGGGCAGAAACA